rnacentral:rRNA from 1 species
GACGAACGCUGGCGGCGUGCCUAAUACAUGCAAGUUGAGCGCUGAAGGUUGGUACUUGUACCAACUGGAUGAGCAGCGAACGGGUGAGUAACGCGUGGGGAAUCUGCCUUUGAGCGGGGGACAACAUUUGGAAACGAAUGCUAAUACCGCAUAAAAACUUUAAACACAAGUUUUAAGUUUGAAAGAUGCAAUUGCAUCACUCAAAGAUGAUCCCGCGUUGUAUUAGCUAGUUGGUGAGGUAAAGGCUCACCAAGGCGAUGAUACAUAGCCGACCUGAGAGGGUGAUCGGCCACAUUGGGACUGAGACACGGCCCAAACUCCUACGGGAGGCAGCAGUAGGGAAUCUUCGGCAAUGGACGAAGGUCUGACCGAGCAACGCCGCGUGAGUGAAGAAGGGUUUCGGAUCGUAAAACUCUGUUGGUAGAGAAGAACGUUGGUGAGAGUGGAAAGCUCAUCAAGUGACGGUAACUACCCAGAAAGGGACGGCUAACUACGUG